UGAAAAUCUUAUUGACUUAGCUUUUAUUUAAACCAUAUCAAACCAAGUAAAACAAUUGAACCGUGUGAUAAAUUUUUAAUCAAACCAAAUGGGACUGAAAACAACUUAACAAUUAAGUUGUUGGAUAGUAAACUCUUAUCACAACGCCACAUCACCAACCGACCUUUUCGCAUCACUUCUCCUCCACCAAAGAUACCUGUUAAUGGCCUGAAAUCACAGGGACAGCAGCCCCUCUGCACAGUUGCUCUUCCUCCUCCUUCCCUUGAUGUUUUUCAUGACUCUAGAGUUAUAUUUUGAAGCUUUCUCACUCUACAAUUGAAAUGGCAUCAAUAGGUACACUAUGACAGCUCUUAUUUCACUCAACGUGCUCCAUGUAUACUUUGUUUGUAUGAAAUUGGGAUGAAAUGGGUCCCUGUUAGGUUUGUGAGGGUGGUCUAUGAUACCGUCAACCAUAUACAGGGAGAUCAGUGCCUCCGUAUGCAUAUGAUGAAAUAUGAUAUGAAAAACCACAGAGUGGCCUCCUGUUAUA